AGAAUCAGCAGUGGGGCACAGAAACAGUGGUACAACGCCUUUCAGUCCUCCCUGAAACUGAGAACUAAAUAUGUUGCUUUUGCUCCAGCAAUUCUGCAGCAGAUUUCUCCUGUAUAUAUAGUGCUGACUUCUUUUCCAUCAAAAACACAGCUUUUCUCUACAAGCAAAAGGGUCAGUGUUUGAAAUCAAGAACACAGAAAAGAUGAUGAAUCUUGAAAAGAGUCCUCGUUCAAGGCAGUGACUGCAGCCAUGAACAGAACUAUCUAUCAAAGAGAAAAGGGAAUGAACUAAGGGAAGCUGGUGAUGUGGUCAAAGGCAAACAACAACAACCAAAAAAAUUAAAGCAUCAGCUUGAGUUCUAGCUCCAACUUUGCUCCUCAUUAUGUGAAUUUUGUCAGGGAUGAUGUGACUUGAAUCUUCAUGUGAUUUCCAGCACUGUAUUCCUCCUGUUUCUAUUCCACCUUUCAGAGUACCCCAUGGCAGAAUAAAAUAGGAGCCAAAUUUAACAGUAACCUUCGAGGUAUUUUAAAAGAUUUUGUAUUUGUUUGGAGCUUCACAACUGCUGAAAGCAUGAGUACAUGCAUAAUCUUUGCUUAACAUUAAGCUAUGUCUACCCUCCCAAAAAGAAACUACCUGUCCAUCUACAUGGUAGGAGAAGACAAUGAUUUCAUUACUAAAAUUGUAACUUACACUGCUCAGAAAGCCAAUGCUUGACAAAUGGUUGAACCUAUGUUGAAAGAAUAGGAUCACAGAGAUAAACUGUGUACAUUUGGAAAUAGUUCAGUAACUAAUGUGAAUUGUAAAAUCCUGCUUCACUCAGUGAGAGCAAUUACCAUUAAAAUUUUUGAUAAUUCACAUUUAAAAUACUGGCAAUCUGACAGGCCCUUAAAGCAUUUAUUUUGGUUGUUAGUUUAAUUAUCCUUUCAGCUGAUAUAGUCAUUUGUUUCACAAAUUAAAAAAAAAGAAGAGUUUACAGGGGAAAC
ensembl:lncRNA